rnacentral:rRNA from 1 species
GGAAGAGAAAGAAAAUUCGAUUCCCUUAGUAGCGGCGAGCGAAACGGGAAGAGCCCAAACCAAAAAGCUUGCUUGUUGGGGUUGUAGGACACUCUAUACGGAGUUACAAAGGACGACAUUAGACGAAUCAUCUGGAAAGAUGAAUCAAAGAAGGUAAUAAUCCUGUAGUCGAAAAUGUUGUCUCUCUUGAGUGGAUCCUGAGUACGACGGAGCACGUGAAAUUCCGUCGGAAUCUGGGAGGACCAUCUCCUAAGGCUAAAUACUCUCUAGUGACCGAUAGUGAACCAGUACCGUGAGGGAAAGGUGAAAAGCACCCCGGAAGGGGAGUGAAAUAGAACCUGAAACCGUGUGCUUACAAGUAGUCAGAGCCCGUUAAUGGGUGAUGGCGUGCCUUUUGUAGAAUGAACCGGCGAGUUACGAUUUGAUGCAAGGUUAAGCAGUAAAUGUGGAGCCGUAGCGAAAGCGAGUCUGAAUAGGGCGUUUAGUAUUUGGUCGUAGACCCGAAACCAGGUGAUCUACCCUUGGUCAGGUUGAAGUUCAGGUAACACUGAAUGGAGGACCGAACCGACUUACGUUGAAAAGUGAGCGGAUGAACUGAGGGUAGCGGAGAAAUUCCAAUCGAACCUGGAGAUAGCUGGUUCUCUCCGAAAUAGCUUUAGGGCUAGCCUCAAGUGAUGAUUAUUGGAGGUAGAGCACUGUUUGGACGAGGGGCCCCUCUCGGGUUACCGAAUUCAGACAAACUCCGAAUGCCAAUUAAUUUAACUUGGGAGUCAGAACAUGGGUGAUAAGGUCCGUGUUCGAAAGGGAAACAGCCCAGACCACCAGCUAAGGUCCCAAAAUAUAUGUUAAGUGGAAAAGGAUGUGGCGUUGCCCAGACAACUAGGAUGUUGGCUUAGAAGCAGCCAUCAUUUAAAGAGUGCGUAAUAGCUCACUAGUCGAGUGACACUGCGCCGAAAAUGUACCGGGGCUAAACAUAUUACCGAAGCUGUGGAUUGUCCUUUGGACAAUGGUAGGAGAGCGUUCUAAGGGCGUUGAAGCAUGAUCGUAAGGACAUGUGGAGCGCUUAGAAGUGAGAAUGCCGGUGUGAGUAGCGAAAGACGGGUGAGAAUCCCGUCCACCGAUUGACUAAGGUUUCCAGAGGAAGGCUCGUCCGCUCUGGGUUAGUCGGGUCCUAAGCUGAGGCCGACAGGCGUAGGCGAUGGAUAACAGGUUGAUAUUCCUGUACCACCUAUAAUCGUUUUAAUCGAUGGGGGGACGCAGUAGGAUAGGCGAAGCGUGCGAUUGGAUUGCACGUCUAAGCAGUAAGGCUGAGUAUUAGGCAAAUCCGGUACUCGUUAAGGCUGAGCUGUGAUGGGGAGAAGACAUUGAGUCUUCGAGUCGUUGAUUUCACACUGCCGAGAAAAGCCUCUAGAUAGAAAAUAGGUGCCCGUACCGCAAACCGACACAGGUAGUCAAGAUGAGAAUUCUAAGGUGAGCGAGCGAACUCUCGUUAAGGAACUCGGCAAAAUGACCCCGUAACUUCGGGAGAAGGGGUGCUCUUUAGGGUUAACGCCCAGAAGAGCCGCAGUGAAUAGGCCCAAGCGACUGUUUAUCAAAAACACAGGUCUCUGCUAAACCGUAAGGUGAUGUAUAGGGGCUGACGCCUGCCCGGUGCUGGAAGGUUAAGAGGAGUGGUUAGCUUCUGCGAAGCUACGAAUCGAAGCCCCAGUAAACGGCGGCCGUAACUAUAACGGUCCUAAGGUAGCGAAAUUCCUUGUCGGGUAAGUUCCGACCCGCACGAAAGGCGUAACGAUUUGGGCACUGUCUCAACGAGAGACUCGGUGAAAUCAUAGUACCUGUGAAGAUGCAGGUUACCCGCGACAGGACGGAAAGACCCCGUGGAGCUUUACUGUAGCCUGAUAUUGAAAUUCGGCACAGCUUGUACAGGAUAGGUAGGAGCCUUUGAAACGUGAGCGCUAGCUUACGUGGAGGCGCUGGUGGGAUACUACCCUAGCUGUGUUGGCUUUCUAACCCGCACCACUUAUCGUGGUGGGAGACAGUGUCAAGCGGGCAGUUUGACUGGGGCGGUCGCCUCCUAAAAGGUAACGGAGGCGCUCAAAGGUUCCCUCAGAAUGGUUGGAAAUCAUUCAUAGAGUGUAAAGGCAUAAGGGAGCUUGACUGCGAGACCUACAAGUCGAGCAGGGUCGAAAGACGGACUUAGUGAUCCGGUGGUUCCGCAUGGAAGGGCCAUCGCUCAACGGAUAAAAGCUACCCCGGGGAUAACAGGCUUAUCUCCCCCAAGAGUUCACAUCGACGGGGAGGUUUGGCACCUCGAUGUCGGCUCAUCGCAUCCUGGGGCUGUAGUCGGUCCCAAGGGUUGGGCUGUUCGCCCAUUAAAGCGGUACGCGAGCUGGGUUCAGAACGUCGUGAGACAGUUCGGUCCCUAUCCGUCGUGGGCGUAGGAAAUUUGAGAGGAGCUGUCCUUAGUACGAGAGGACCGGGAUGGACAUACCUCUGGUGUACCAGUUGUCGUGCCAACGGCAUAGCUGGGUAGCUAUGUGUGGACGGGAUAAGUGCUGAAAGCAUCUAAGCAUGAAGCCCCCCUCAAGAUGAGAUUUCCCAACUUCGGUUAUAAGAUCCCUCAAAGAUGAUGAGGUUAAUAGGUUCGAGGUGGAAGCAUGGUGACAUGUGGAGCUGACGAAUACUAAUCGAUCGAAGACUUAAUCAA